CUGGGCGUAAAGGACGCGUAGGCGGUCUGAUAAGUUAGAUGUGAAAUCCUAUGGCUUAACCAUAGAACUGCAUCUAAAACUGUCAGACUAGAAUGAGGGAGAGGUCAGUGGAAUUAGUGGUGUAGGGGUAAAAUCCGUAGAGAUCACUAGGAAUACUCAUAGCGAAGGCGACUGACUGGAACUUUAUUGACGCUAAGGCGUGAAAGCGUGGGGAGCAAACAGGAUUAGAUACCCUGGUAGUCCACGCCCUAAACGAUGUACACUAGUUAUUGUGAUGCAAGUCAUUGCAGUAAUGCAGCUAACGCAUUAAGUGUACCGCCUGGGGAGUACGGUCGCAAGAUUAAAACUCAAAGGAAUAGACGGGGACCCGCACAAGCGGUGGAGCAUGUGGUUUAAUUCGAAGAUACGCGAAGAACCUUACCUGGACUUGACAUCCUAUAAAGGAUUUAGAGAUAGACUUGUGCUAGUUUACUAGAAUAUAGUGACAGGUGCUGCACGGCUGUCGUCAGCUCGUGUCGUGAGAUGUUGGGUUAAGUCCCGCAACGAGCGCAACCCUCGUCGUUAGUUGCUAACAGUUCGGCUGAGCACUCUAACGAGACUGCCUGGGUAACCAGGAGGAAGGUGAGGACGACGUCAAGUCAUCAUGGCCCUUAUGUCCAGGGCUACACACGUGCUACAAUGGUUGGGACAAUGAGACGCGAUACCGCGAGGUGGAGCAAAUCUAUAAACCCAAUCUCAGUUCGGAUAGCACUCUGCAACUCGAGUGCUUGAAGCUGGAAUCGCUAGUAAUCGUAGAUCAGCAAUGCUACGGUGAAUACGUUCCCGGGUCUUGUACUCACCGCCCGUCACACCAUGGGAGUUGGUUUCACCCGAAGCCGGAAUGCCAAAUUGGCUACCGUCCACGGUGGGCCCAGCAACUAGGGUGAAGUCGUAACAAGGUA
rnacentral:rRNA from 1 species